rnacentral:rRNA from 1 species
AUUGAACGCUGGCGGAAUGCUUUACACAUGCAAGUCGAACGGUAGAGGGGGCAACCCCUUGAGAGUGGCGAACGGGUGAGUAAUAUAUCGGAACGUGCCCAGUCGUGGGGAUACCGUAGCGAAAGUUACGCUAAUACCGCAUACGAUCUAAGGAUGAAAGCGGGGGACUCGCAAGAGCCUCGCGCGAUUGGAGCGGCCGAUAUCAGAUUAGGUAGUUGGUGGGGUAAAGGCUCACCAAGCCAACGAUCUGUAGCUGGUCUGAGAGGACGACCAGCCACACUGGAACUGAGACACGGUCCAGACUCCUACGGGAGGCAGCAGUGGGGAAUUUUGGACAAUGGACGCAAGUCUGAUCCAGCCAUUCCGCGUGCAGGAUGAAGGCCCUCGGGUUGUAAACUGCUUUUGUACGGAACGAAAAGGUUUCUAUUAAUACGAGGAGCUCAUGACGGUACCGUAAGAAUAAGCACCGGCUAACUACGUGCCAGCAGCCGCGGU